rnacentral:rRNA from 1 species
GACGAACGCUGGCGGCGUGCUUAACACAUGCAAGUCGAACGGAAAGGCCCUGCUUUUGUGGGGUGCUCGAGUGGCGCACGGGUGUGUAACACGUGAGUAACCUGCGUUUGACUUUGGGAUAACUUCAGGAAACUGGGGCUAAUACAGGAUAGGAGCUCCUGCUGCAUGGUGGGGGUUGGGAAGUUUCGGCGGAUGGGGAUGGACUCGCGGGUUAUCAGCUUGUUGGGGGGGUAGUGGCUUACCAAGGCUUAGGUGGGUAGCCGGCCUGAGAGGGUAACCGGCCACAAUGGUACUAAGAGACGGCCCAGACGCCUACGUGAGACAGCAGUCGAGAGUAUUGCACAGUGAUCGGAAGCCUGAGACGACAACCCCGCGAGCGGAAUAACGGCCUACUGGGGAGAAACCGCUUUCGCCUGAGACGAAGCGUGAGUGACGGUAAUGGGUAAAGAAGCACCGGCUAACUACGUG